UCUUUAUCACUGAGUGCUUGCACUCACCGAUAAAGAGUUGAGUGGCGAACGGGUGAGUAACACGUGGGCAACCUGCCCAAAAGAGGGGGAUAACACUUGGAAACAGGUGCUAAUACCGCAUAACCAUAGUUACCGCAUGGUAACUAUGUAAAAGGUGGCUAUGCUACCGCUUUUGGAUGGGCCCGCGGCGCAUUAGCUAGUUGGUGGGGUAAAGGCUUACCAAGGCAAUGAUGCGUAGCCGAACUGAGAGGUUGAUCGGCCACAUUGGGACUGAGACACGGCCCAAACUCCUACGGGAGGCAGCAGUAGGGAAUCUUCCACAAUGGGCGAAAGCCUGAUGGAGCAACGCCGCGUGGGUGAAGAAGGUCUUCGGAUCGUAAAACCCUGUUGUUAGAGAAGAAAGUGCGUGAGAGUAACUGUUCACGUUUCGACGGUAUCUAACCAGGAAGCCACGGCUAACUACGUGCCAGCAGCCGCGGUAAUACGUAGGUGGCAAGCGUUAUCCGGAUUUAUUGGGCGUAAAGGGAACGCAGGCGGUCUUUUAAGUCUGAUGUGAAAGCCUUCGGCUUAACCGGAGUAGUGCAUUGGAAACUGGGAGACUUGAGUGCAGAAGAGGAGAGUGGAACUCCAUGUGUAGCGGUGAAAUGCGUAGAUAUAUGGAAGAACACCAGUGGCGAAAGCGGCUCUCUGGUCUGUAACUGACGCUGAGGUUCGAAAGCGUGGGUAGCAAA
rnacentral:rRNA from 1 species